rnacentral:sRNA from 1 species
AAAUCUUGGUGUAGUUUUAAAUAGAUUCUAGAUCUGAGAUUCUCUAUCUCUGUGUAUCAACAAAUAUGAAUUAUUCUCACAAUCAUUGGAAUCAUGAAAUAUGACCUGUUUGAAAAAGAAAAGUUGAAUUUAUUUAUUCAAAUUCAUAAUUAUUAAAUUGCUAGACUGAGUAAAGAUUAAGAAAACAGUACUUUGCAUCUUCACCUUACAAAGAACAAUGAUCUCAAUGUUUUAUGUGGAAUCGAAGAGCCUUAACUAUGGAUGACUGUCUGGUUGUGUGGUAUGCAUUGGGAAUGCUAGUCUCUAUGGAUCCUGGUUCAAACCCUGCCUGCUGACAUCACACUUCGUUCAGUGGGUUGAAUGGGCAAGGAUGCCAUAAUCUCCAAUUCUAAAGGAACAUACAAAACAUGUAAAACAGAAACUUUGAAAGGUCAGAUUUCCACGUAUCCCCCUUCACUAGGUCUGUGAAACGCAUUGGAUGACAUUCAGCAGUUUUUUGUUGGUGUUUUUUUUUUUGUUGGAGAUACAAAAAUAAAAAUUUGUGUCAGCAAAAUAAAAUAUAA